rnacentral:rRNA from 1 species
GAUGAACGCUGGCGGCGUGCCUAAUACAUGCAAGUCGAACGAAACUUCUUUAUCACCGAGUGCUUGCACUCACCGAUAAAGAGUUGAGUGGCGAACGGGUGAGUAACACGUGGGCAACCUGCCCAAAAGAGGGGGAUAACACUUGGAAACAGGUGCUAAUACCGCAUAACCAUAGUUACCGCAUGGUAACUAUGUAAAAGGUGGCUAUACUACCGCUUUUGGAUGGGCCCGCGGCGCAUUAGCUAGUUGGUAGGGUAAAGGCUUACCAAGGCAAUGAUGCGUAGCCGAAUUGAGAGGUUGAUCGGCCACAUUGGGACUGAGACACGGCCCAAACUCCUACGGGAGGCAGCAGUAGGGAAUCUUCCACAAUGGGCGAAAGCCUGAUGGAGCAACGCCGCGUGGGUGAAGAAGGUCUUCGGAUCGUAAAACCCUGAUGUUAGAGAAGAAAGUGCGUGAGAGUAACUGUUCACGUUUCGACGGUAUCUAACCGGAAAGCCACGGCUAACUACGUG